GAUAAGAACGCAGCGAAAUGCGAUAAGUAAUGUGAAUUGCAGAAUUCAGUGAAUCAUCGAAUCUUUGAACGCACAUUGCGCCCGCUAGUAUUCUGGCGGGCAUGCCUGUCCGAGCGUCAUUUCAACCCUCAAGCCCCCGGGCUUGGUGUUGGGGAUCGGCGAGCCUCCGCGCCCGCCGUCCCCUAAAUCUAGUGGCGGUCUCGCUGUAGCUUCCUCUGCGUAGUAGCACACCUCGCACUGGGAAACAGCGCGGCCACGCCGUUAAACCCCCAACUUCUGAACGUUUGACCUCGGAUCAGGUAGGAAUACCCGCUGAACUUAAGCAUAUCAAUAAGCGGAGGA
rnacentral:misc_RNA from 1 species